rnacentral:ncRNA from 2 species
CCAAUAGCGUAUAUUAAAGUUGUUGCAGUUAAAAAGCUCGUAGUUGAAUUUCGGGAUCAAAUUGUCGGUCGUGCCUCGGUACGUACUGGCGUUAUUGGUUCCUCCCUUCUGAAGAACCGCGAUGUCAUUAAUUUGGUGUCGCGGGGAAUCAGGACUGUUACUUUGAAAAAAUUAGAGUGUUUAAAGCAGGCUCGCGCUUGAAUACAUUAGCAUGGAAUAAUGAAAUAGGACGUUUGAUUCUAUUUUGUUGGUUUCUAGGAUCGACGUAAUGAUUAAUAGGGAUAGUUGGGGGCAUUAGUAUUCAAUUGUCAGAGGUGAAAUUCUUGGAUUUAUUGAAGACUAACUACUGCGAAAGCAUUUGCCAAGGAUGUUUUCAUUAAUCAAGAACGAAAGUUAGGGGAUCGAAGACGAUCAGAUACCGUCGUAGUCUUAACCAUAAACUAUGCCGACUAGGGAUCGGAUGAUGUUAAUUUUUUAAUGACUCAUUCGGCGCCUUACG